rnacentral:rRNA from 1 species
UACAGAGGGGGCAAGCGUUGUUCGGAAUUACUGGGCGUAAAGGGCGCGUAGGCGGCCUGUUAAGUCGAACGUGAAAUCCCCGGGCUCAACCCGGGAACUGCGUCCGAUACUGGCAGGCUUGAAUCCGGGAGAGGGAUGCGGAAUUCCAGGUGUAGCGGUGAAAUGCGUAGAUAUCUGGAGGAACACCGGUGGCGAAGGCGGCAUCCUGGACCGGUAUUGACGCUGAGGCGCGAAAGCCAGGGGAGCGAACGGG